AAAUCAAAGCAAGGUUUUGGAAGACAAGGAAUCAUGGCAAUCAACAGGAUGAAUGGUGUAAUGGCUAUUCUUUUGUGCGGAAUGAUUCUUCUGGGAGCAAAUGUGGAGGUUGAGGCCUGCCCACUAUAUUGCUUACAUGUUGAGUACAUGACCUGCGGUAACUCGGGAACGAAGCAGUACCCCAGCUGCAUCAAUUGUUGCUUGGCCCCAAAGGGCUGCACUCUUCAUCUUGCUGACGGAACUUCACAAUAUUGCGGCUAAAUCAAUUCCAUGAUUGGAGUUUGUACGCUAGACUGCUAAUAUCAUGCUAGACUGGUACAAUAUAAUUUCAGCUUCCACCAGGGUUUAAGAUAUCCAUGUAGGAUAUCAGUGAUUCAAGAGACAGUUGAGUCAUAUUCAAUCACUGAUCUUAUACACUAAAUAAAGGUAUACAAAUAGAGUAACUUUUAUUACUAGAGCGAUCUGCCAUAUAUAACCAAAUUCGUGAUAAAUACCUGGAAUUAUUCAUUAUAGCUCAAAAAAUUGUAAUUCUCGACAAAAAUAUGUAAUUAAAUAGGAGGGCGAAAGAGAUAGAGAGUGUGUGAGAUCAGUGCUAAAAGUUUCAAGAACUUAACGAUCGACUCUUUCUUCUUU